rnacentral:rRNA from 1 species
GACGAACGCUGGCGGCGUGCCUAAUACAUGCAAGUAGAACGCAGUUGCGCACGGGUGAGAAACGCGUAGGUAACUAUCUAGUAGAGGGGGAUAACUAAUGGAGACGAUAGCUAAUACCGCAUAAUCGUAUAUGGACCUGCUUUGUAUUAGCUAGUAGGUUGGGUAAUGGCCUACCAAGGCAACGAUACAUAGCCGACGUGUGAGGGUGAGCGGCCACGCUGGGACUGAGACACGGCCCAGAAUCCUACGGGAAGCAGCAGUAGGGAAUCUUCGGCAAUGGGGGGAACGCUUACCGGGCAACGCCGCGGGAGUGAAGAAGGUUUUCGGAUCGUAAAGCUCUGUUGUUAAGGAAGCGGUACUUAACCAGAAAGGGACGGCUAACUACGUGCCAGCAGCCGCGGUAAUAC